UAACUUUCAAAUUAAAUAUAAAUGGUCCUAUAGAUAAAUGAAUUUGAAAUUCAUUAUUAAAAGUAAUUAAAUUAAUGUAAAAUAAAUUAAUAAAAUAAGUGUAAACUUAGGAUUGCUAUGGAGGCUCCGUGCUACUUUUGGUUGGAGUCUUUGUACUUUUUAGAUGGGAAAAACUUAAAAAAAAAAAAAAAAAAAAAAGUUUGUAUUAUAUCCGAAUGCUUAGAAAAACCUUUAUAUGAUUUUUUGUACGCAUUAACCAUUAUUAUUUCUAAUUUUGAUUGUUUUCAAUCUUUGUGACCGGUUAGCGCAAAGCUACUAGUAACACAGCUUUUGUACGCAUUAAACAUUAAGCAUUAACCACUAUUCAUCACCCUCUUCAUCCGGACCUAUUGAACUGCCGAACACCACCACCUUGUUGUCUCUGCUGCUGUGUUUUUCAGUUCACCCCUACCCCCGAGAUCACCACUGCUACCCAACCACGAACCACCAUUAACCGAAACCCAUAGCUCAUCUCCUCCAUUUUGUUUUGUUGAGAACCAAAGAAAAGACAGAAAUAUAGUUAUUUUCAUUGUGGUUUGGGAUGAACAAGAAUGAAAAAAAGAAAAAAAAAUCACAGAACAGGAGACCAUCACCCUCGUUUCAAACCUCUAAACUUGCAACACAAACCGGAAAACAAAAACCAAACAGGAAGAAGAAAGAUGAAUCACAAAACAGAACAAGAAAAGAAUUAAAGAAAUCUGAGAAUUUCUUUUUCUAUGUUGUUGCUACCAAAAAUCAAAACCAAAUCACACAAAUCUUUUUUUGUGUGUGUUGGUGCUGUCGAGUAAACAAGAAAGAAAGAAGAAAAAAAUGUGUUUGUUCCACCAUCGAGAUUGAAAGAAGAAGAAUCAAAGAGAAGCAAGAACACUGUUCAUCGUCCCCAUCGAGAACCUGCAACAGAAAAAAGAAAAAGAAAAAANNNNNNNNNNNCGCACAAAAAAAAAAAAAAAAAAAAAAAAAAAAAAAAAAAAAAAACUCCUUUUUGUGUGUUGUUGCUACCGAAAAUCACAAAAAUCGUUUCUUCUGUUGAGUAAAAAAAUUUGUAUUUGUUCCACCACCAUUACCUGUUGCUACUUCUGCUUAAAUCUGAAAAAACCGAGAACCAACUAUCUUCCGAAACCAUCACCACAAAAUCAACAACCGGUUAACCACCGUCACCUGCUCGAAACAUCACAUGUGAAACUCUAGAACCAAAUUGAAAACAGGGAGACCAACCCUUCGGUUCCAAACCCACUCGAGCCCGAAGACCUUUGCAAAACCCGACGACCUACACACUGCCUUUUCCGAAACCGAACAACCUCUAGCAAUUUACUGUUCAUCAUCCCCUCCACUUAAAAACCAGCAACAAAUAUCAAGAAACGAAACAUAUAAAAAAAUUGUUGCUGUUUUCUUUGCUCUCUAGCUGAGACCCGAGACCGUUGAGCCUCAUCCUAGUCACCUUCAAAACAGAAUUGAAACAAAAAUCAAAAUCAAAAUUGAAGAAGUUUUGGGAUUAAGGAUUUUUUUACAGAUCGAGAAUCUGUUACCAGAUAAAGUAGGGAUUUUAAACGGUUUUGGAAAUCAUAGUGGUUGAUACGUACAAAAUAAUUAUAUAGGGGUUUUUCUAAGUAUUAGAUAUAAUAGAUAGGGUUUUUAUGAGUUUUUCCCUUUUUGGAUUUUUAAAUUAAUACUAUGUAGCUACCGAAUUUUUCAUUUAGUCAUCAAUGGUGAUAGUCUAAGACACAAAAUUAAGUGAGUACGUGAACAACAUUCAAUUUAUUAAUAUUUCAUAACAGUAAUUUUUACAAAAGAAAAAAAUUGGACGUCAGUAUAGAUGCGUCACACAAUGAGCUAUUUAAAUAAA
rnacentral:lncRNA from 1 species